rnacentral:rRNA from 1 species
UACGGGGGGGGGCAAGCGUUGUUCGGAAUUACUGGGCGUAAAGGGCGCGUAGGCGGUCAGACCAAGUCGAGUGUGAAAUUCCAGGGCUUAACUCUGGCACGCUCGCUCGAUACUGGUCGGCUAGAGUGUGGAAGAGGAUGCUGGAAUUCCCGGUGUAGCGGUGGAAUGCGUAGAUAUCGGGAAGAACACCGGUGGCGAAGGCGGCUCGCUGGGCCGUUGCUGACGCUGAGGCGCGAAAGCCAGGGGAGCAAACGGG